rnacentral:misc_RNA from 1 species
CCUGCUUCUGCGCCUAACUGCAGAAUACACCGUUUUCGGCAGGAGAGCAAUUCCCCCUACAAACAAAGUCAUCAUGCCUGCACUUGUUGUAACUGAAGAAACAAUGGCCUCCGAGCUAUCCAAGAAAAAAAUGAAGAAGACACCCAAAACUGAUAUUGAAACUCCUACUGAUAAGAAAACCAAAGAGAAAAAGUCAAAAAAAUCCAAGAUUGAGUCUGGGUCUGAUUCAGAGGACGCUAAAAGGAGUAAAAAGAAAGAGAAAAAGAGAAAAGCUUUGGACUUGGAUGGUGAGAAGAGUGAUACGAGCUCAGAGAUAUGCGAGCCCGUAGAUUUGAAGAAGAAUAAAAAGGCUAAAUUCGACGACGAACAAGUGAUGGUUGAGAAGAAAGUCGAGGAUCCUAAUGCUUUGUCUAAUUUUAGGAUUUCAAAGCCUUUAAAAGAGGCUUUGAAUUCUAAGGGAAUAGAAGCACUUUUUCCUAUUCAAGCUAUGACUUUUGAUGAUAUUCUUGAUGGAUGUGAUUUGGUUGGUCGAGCUCGUACUGGGCAGGGUAAAACGCUGGCCUUUGUUUUACCCAUAUUGGAGUCCCUAACGAAUGGUCCUACUAAAGCAUUACGAAAAACAGGGUAUGGGAAGGCUCCUAGUGUUCUGGUGCUUUUACCUACUAGGGAAUUGGCACUUCAGGUGUUUGCUGACUUUGAAGUCUAUGGCCGGGCUGUUGGGCUCACUUCAUGCUGUUUGUAUGGAAAUUCUCCUAUGGGGGCACAACAGGCUCAACUAAAAAGAGGAGUUGACAUUGUAGUGGGUACUCCUGGAAGGGUUAAGGACCACAUUGAAAGGGGAAAUAUUGAUUUCGGGUCUUUGAAGUUCCGUGUUCUUGAUGAAGUCGAUGAAAUGUUAAAAAUUGGUUUUGUAGAUGAUGUCGAAUUUAUUUUAGGCAAGGUCGAAGAUGCAAGCCUAGUUCAAACAGUUCUUUUCAGUGCCACUUUGCCAGUCUGGGUGAAGCAUAUUGCUUCUAAGUUUCUGAAACCAGAUAAGAAAACGGCUGACCUUGUUGGUAAUGAGAAAAUGAAG